AUUGAACGCUGGCGGCAUGCUUUACACAUGCAAGUCGAACGGUAGCAGGGACUUCGGUCUGCUGACGAGUGGCGAACGGGUGAGUAAUGCAUCGGAACGUGCCCAGUAGUGGGGGAUAACCAGUCGAAAGGCUGGCUAAUACCGCAUACGACCUACGGGUGAAAGCGGGGGACCGUAAGGCCUCGCGCUAUUGGAGCGGCCGAUGUAUGAUUAGCUAGUUGGCGGGGUAAGAGCCCACCAAGGCGACGAUAAGUAGCUGGGCUGAGAGGACGACCAGCCACACUGGGACUGAGACACGGCCCAGACUCCUACAGGAGGCAGCAGUGGGGAAUUUUGGACAAUGGGCGCAAGCCUGAUCCAGCCAUGCCGCGUGCGGGAAGAAGGCCUUCGGGUUGUAAACCGCUUUUGGCAGGAACGAAACGGCGCAAGCCAAUACCUUGCGCUAAUGACGGUACCUGCAGAAUAAGCACCGGCUAACUACGUGCCAGCAGCCGCCGUAACAC
rnacentral:rRNA from 1 species